GGUUAUCUGGUCAUCAUAUGAGGCACUGCCAUCCACUCAUUCAGAGCUAGAAGCAAGCAGCAGCCUGUGUGUCUAGAUAUCAAGUCCUCUGCCUAGGGCUCUGGGAUGCCCUUGAUAAAAGCCGAAAAUAUCCAGAGCUAAAAACCCCUCCAAAUAGUGAGGCUGGAGGGGAGAAAGGCAUGUAGCCAGAUGGUUCUGAGCUCAAGUUCUGUUCGGCAUUCCUAGCCGGGACCUGGGGCAAGGGGCACAACAUCUCUGGGUCUGUUUCCACAUUUCAGAAGGGGAAUGUUUGCUUCUUUCAGUAGUCGUGAGAAGGGGCCUGUGGCUAUGGAAAACAGCAUCCCUGUUUCAAAGAUGCAUGUGGCAUGAAGGUCAACUGCCACACAUGAGGUUUGGCGUUUGCUCUAUCCCAGAACUGCUCCCAUGCUGCGGUGCACACAAAGCCCCCGGGUCUCCGUUAAAAGACAGACUCAGGAGGUCUGGGGUGGGGCCCGAGGUUCUAUAUUUUUAGCUCACUGCCAGGUGACACCUGUGUUGCUGGUCCAUGGAGUGGUAUAGGUUUAAGAGUCUCUAGCAACCCCAUUGGCAAGAAAGGUAGAAGCCAGAUGGAAUUUGAUAGCGAUGAAGCUGGGUAGCGGGAUAAAAGGAGUUCCUUAUGCCAUCUCUACUUUUUUGGUUCGUGGGGAGGAGAGAGAGGGAGGGAAUGGAGAAUGACUGCUAACGGGUACAAGGUUUCUUUGAGGGAUGGUGAAAUGUCCUAAAAUUAGAUUAUGGGGAUGCUUGCACAACCCUGCAAAUAUACUAAAACCCAAUGAACUAUACACUUUAAAUGGGUGAAUUGUAAACAAUAAAGCUUUUAAAAAUAAAUAAAAGAAGAAAUGAAAUUGCCUUCCCCUAGAGGCUGGAUUUUCACAGCCUGCAAGUCUUUGAAGCAGGACCCAAGCGUGUCUAAAGCUAAACCCAGCGAGUUCACUGCCAAGGAGGUGAUGAGUUUCGGAGAGAAAUAGGUGUUGGGAGACUCCAGGAAAAUGUUGGGGAUCCAGAUUCUGAAGCAUGGAGGGCCCAGAGGAAAGGCCCUUCUGUUCUGAGCCUGGCUCUUCCCAGGCCUCGUACGAGGGAUGGCCAAGCCCCCACCCCCAGGGCCUGAGCCCUUCCUCCGUCCUGCCCUCCCCUGCAUCAUGGUGAUGGAAUUCAGCUGAAUUCAGAGUUCUGAUGACCAAAUUAGAUUUCCUAUCCUUGGCCCAGAAAGUGAUUUUCCUCUCAACAUUCUAUACCCAGUGCCAAGGCCACCUCCUCCAAGGAGGCUUCCCUGAUCUUCCACAUCCCUGGAUUCACCUCUCCCUUAGAAAAGGGACCAUUUUCCUCAGCCUGAACUAUUAGGUCCCACAGGCUGGCUCUGGAGGACUCAGUGGACAGCUAGGACUUACAGAAUCCCUGCAGGUGCCUGUUCCUGAGCAAGGUCCCCACUGUGGGGCAUGCAUCAGGGACCAUUCAUUCAUCCAGACAUUCCUUCAUGUCCAGCUGGGCCUGAAUCUCAAAAUCACCUGCCAGGGAGAUUGGUUUUGUGUGCCAGGCUCCUUGACUUCUCACCCGGACUUUGAGGCAGGUGAGCUUGUGGAGGCCCCUCGUGACAGAGUGUCAUGGGUAUCCUGCAUGGAGCCCAGGGCUGGAAGCCAGGAAAUCAGGACCUUCUUCAGAUGAUGACUGCAGGCAACAAGCUUCAGCUUUCUGGGCCUCAGUUUUUCCAUCAGCAGGAUGGGGGUAAAAGCCAUGCCUGCUACCCUCCUCCUAGGGCUGUUGGGAAAUCAGAAGAGCCCCAAGUGGGGACCCUCCCAGCCUUUAGAAACACUCUCCCCUCUGUGAGGUCAAGCAGCUGAAAAGCAGAGAAGAGGGCUGUGGACUGGAAUCAAGGCAGCGCCACUGUCUUCCCCUGCAGGGCCUCAGUUUCCCCUUUGUCUAACGAGAAUGAGUCCUCCCUCAUGGGACGGAGGGGCCAGGCCUGCCAGGACCUGACAAGAUCAGCAGAGUCAGAGCUCCCAGCCAGAAGAAGCCCCACUGAGAGGCGGCAGAGAGGAAGCCUUCAUGCACACAUUGUCUGGGGAGAGCAGUGGAGCCCCACGAAGCAGGCACAGGGCCAGAAGCAGGUGGCCAUCACCUCAGAGGCUUGAGAGCAUCACCCCUGGCACCAGACUCCCUGGGUUCAAAUCCCGGCCUCACCACUUACUAGCUGGGGGACACAACCUUUUUGCUUUACAAUGAGGAUAAUAAUAGCACUACUUGAUAAGUUGUUAAGAGGAGUUAUUCCAUUAAUAUAGGCAGUUUAGAACAGAGCCUAGUGACUAUAAAUACCAUCAAGUGUUAGCUGUUGCUGUAAUUCAUUCAUCAGGCACCUGCUAUGCUGGGCACUGGGAGCACAGCCCAGAACAAGGCCACAGUGACCCCACUGCACAGAGCCGACUGUUUAGCAGGUCAGGCAGACUAGACCCAGAACUCAUGAACCAGCAGACAUGAUAGACGGUGAUAGUGCCGGGGUGGAAAAAAGGAUGGGGUGGAGGAGCUGUCAAGGAAAAGAGGGGAUGUAUUUUGUGGCAGUCUGGGAGGGCUUCUCUGAGGAAGUGUCCUUUUGGCUGAGAGCUGAAUAACGUAGAGAGCCAGGCAUGAAAAAACAAAAGGAAGGCGGGUCCAGGCCAUCCAGACAGCAUGCAAAGCUCAGCACAUCAAGAAGGGAGCUGCAGCCAAGGGCCCAGGCUGCUCCUCUGCUCAUGCAAGCCAGGCCUUGCUGUCACCAUCAGUCCCAUCCGCCCCCUACCUUGCCCCUCUCACUGGAGAUUUUGCUCUCCAGGUAGUGCUAGAUGAACAGGUCUGACCUUGGGCCUCACGGUCAUCAUUGGUCCUGGGAGGACAAGGUAGCAAGGAGCCCUGGGCUCUGUGGGAUAGGCCAGGAUAGAGAAAGGCUGUGCCAAGAGGGGAGGGAGCAGGGGACACCAGAGCAGUCCAGAGAGGCCAGCUGUGUCCAUCAGGGCAGAGCCUGGGGAAUACUGAUCUGGCCCCACAGUCCCUACAUGAGCCUAUCAGGGCGGGGAGGGAGCUCCAAGAAACAUCUAGCCCAGCCUUCAUGGGAGCCCAUGCUCCACUCUGGGCCCCAGCUGGGGCUGUGCAGCAUCCUCCAUGCUCCUCCAGCCCCCAGGCAUGAGCCCUCAGGUGGCCUUAUCCUGGAAUCGGCCUCCUCCCAUUCUGCCUUUGAGGUCAAAGAGACCCCAUCUCCUCCUCUGCUUCCUGCUGCCCAGGACAGCCUAACCCCACUCCCUGCCAGAGCCCCCUCUCUUCUGAGAACACCAGGCUCAGCCUGUGACUCCCUCGAUCCCGGGAUGCGGGCUUGGCCUCUGCUCUGCGUCUGCCCUUCCCUUACUGGCCAGUCCCUAGCAGGACAGAAGCACAGGGAGCCACCCUUCCUCUGCUGUGUCCUGUUCCCUCAGUGUCCUUGGGCCCACCUUCUUACUCAAGUGAAAGCCUGCUCUCAAGAAAGAAGCAUACAUUGUAGUGACGGCAAUGUUCCCUGUCUUAUCCAUUGGUGCCGAAGUCCACACAUAUUUCCUUUCUUUCUUUCUUUCUUUCUUUUUUUUUUUAUUUUUAUUUUUAGGGCUACAUUUGCAGCCUGUGGAAGUUUCCAGGCUAGGGGUCUAAUCGGAGUUAUAGCUGCCAGCCACAGCCACAGCCACAGCAACGUCAGACCCAAGCCGCAUCUAUUACCUACAUCAUAGCUCACAGCAAGGCCAGAUCCUUAACCCACUGAAUGAGGCCAGGGAUCAAGCCUGCAUCCUCAUGGAUACUAGUCAGGUUCUUAACCCACUGAGCCACAUUGGAAACUCCAAAAAGGGUUAAUUAAAAUUAACUUAUAAAAGAAAGAAGCAUAAUAACAUAAAGUAUUAUUGUAAUUAUUUUGGCUCCUCCUCCUCCUCCUGCCUUCGGUGUACAAACUUUCAAAGAUGCAGUCAGACUCUUAAAGUGACUACGGGCUCAUGGCCAUAAAUGCCCCUCAAAGGCAGCCCCCUGCACCAGACAGCUCCAGACACAACUCCCACUUUACCUAGCUCAGCCUUUCUCCUCACAUGCUCCUGUUACACAGAUGAGAAGACUGAGGCCCCAAAAGGAAGAAUGGUCUGCCUGACAUCAGGUGCACACAGCAUGUCGUGGCAGGGCUGUUGCACUUGUGAGUUGGUCUGACUCAUGAUCAAGAUGUGUGACUAGCUCAGAGCAGGCACUCAAUCAUCACACAUUUCAGUCUCUUCCUCACUCUUCCUGCCUGCCUGCCUUCUUUCAUCCCUUACUUCUCUCUGCCUUUCCCCUUUACUCCUUUUCUUCCCACCCGAGUCUUACUCAGCCUCAGAGGGCAAAUGCUCCAGUUAUCUAAUUCUGUGAAAUAAACCACUCCCAAA
rnacentral:lncRNA from 1 species